AGUGAGUGAAAGCCAGCCAUGAA
rnacentral:piRNA from 1 species